rnacentral:rRNA from 1 species
AGCUUAGUGGCGGACGGGUGAGUAACGCGUGAGCAACCUGCCCUUGUGUGGGGGACAACAGUUGGAAACGACUGCUAAUACCGCAUAACGCAUGAGAAACGCAUGUUUCUUAUGCCAAAGAUUUAUUGCGCAAGGAUGGGCUCGCGUUGGAUUAGAUAGUUGGUGAGGUAACGGCUCACCAAGUCGACGAUCCAUAGCCGGACUGAGAGGUUGAACGGCCACAUUGGAACUGAGAAACGGUCCAGACUCCUACGGGAGGCAGCAGUGGGGAAUAUUGGGCAAUGGGCGAAAGCCUGACCCAGCGACGCCGCGUGCGGGAAGACGGUCUUCGGAUUGUAAACCGCUUUUAUAAGGGACGAAUAAUGACGGUACCUUAUGAAUAAGCCACGGCUAACUACGUGCCAGCAGCCGCGGUAAUACGUAGGUGGCAAGCGUUAUCCGGAUUUACUGGGUGUAAAGGGCGCGUAGGCGGGACAUCAAGUCAGUCGUGAAAUACCGAGGCUCAACUUCGGGGCUGCGAUUGAAACUGAUAUUCUUGAGUGUCGGAGAGGAAAGCGGAAUUCCUAGUGUAGCGGUGAAAUGCGUAGAUAUUAGGAGGAACACCGGUGGCGAAGGCGGCUUUCUGGACGAUAACUGACGCUGAGGCGCGAAAGUGUGGGGAGCAAACAGGAUUAGAUACCCUGGUAGUCCACACCGUGAACGAUGGAUACUAGGUGUAGGAGGUAUCGACCCCUUCUGUGCCGCAGUUAACACAAUAAGUAUCCCACCUGGGGAGUACGACCGCAAGGUUGAAACUCAAAGGAAUUGACGGGGGCCCGCACAAGCAGUGGAGUAUGUGGUUUAAUUCGAAGCAACGCGAAGAACCUUACCUGGGUUUGACAUCCCGAUGACCGGUGUAGAGAUACACCUUUUCUUCGGAACAUCGGUGACAGGUGGUGCAUGGUUGUCGUCAGCUCGUGUCGUGAGAUGUUGGGUUAAGUCCCGCAACGAGCGCAACCCCUAUUGUCAGUUGCCAUCAUUAAGUUGGGCACUCUGGCGAGACUGCCGGUGAUAAAUCGGAGGAAGGUGGGGACGACGUCAAAUCAUCAUGCCCCUUAUAUCCAGGGCUACACACGUACUACAAUGGCUGAAACAAAGUGAAGCGAAACUGUGAAGUGGAGCGAAACACAAAAUUCAGUCUCAGUUCAGAUUGCAGGCUGCAACUCGCCUGCAUGAAGGUGGAAUUGCUAGUAAUCGCGAAUCAGAAUGUCGCGGCGAAUACGUUCCCGGGCCUUGCACACACCGCCCGUCA